CUGUGUUUUAAAUGGCGCAUGGCGAUCCAAGGCGAUAAGGUGUGUGCCUUGCGCCUUGCGCCAUGGCGCAAGAAAGCGCUCGCCUUGAAGACCCACUUGAAGACUACGUUAGUUAUGUAUCCGUGCGUAAUAUACAAAUUUCAUUCACGUGAUUUUGCCUUUAUUAAAUAGUUUUUAUCAGAAGAAAGCCCCAUGAGAUUAGAGAAGAGAGUACGUACUAACCUUAUGCAAAACACAGUCCGUGAGAUCCAUGUUUUGUUAAGUUUUUAACUUUGCUUUUCUACAAGAGCAAGCUAGGGUUUUGAUAAGUUUUUAGACGUUUGGUUUUAAGUUUGGUUUAAGGUUGGUCCAUUUAUUAAGUUAGGGUUUCUACGUGGUUUAGUAUCGGUUAACGUCAUCGUCUCCAUGGCUCGCCUUUGCGUUGCCUUUUAAGGCACCGCCUUAUGACCAAUGCGCACUUGGCGAGCGCCUUACGGAACCCACCCUCGCCUAGGAGGUACAUGGCGAUGGAGCCGUCGCCUGAGUGCGCCUCGCGCCAUGGCGCAAAAGGCGAGCGCCAUUUUAAACACAGA
rnacentral:lncRNA from 1 species